rnacentral:miRNA from 1 species
GGGAUAACUGGGCUGAACUGGGCUGGAUUGAGCUAAGCUAGGCUGGGCUGGGCUGGGCUGAGCUGGGCUGAG